rnacentral:lncRNA from 1 species
CUAUGUUGGAUUACUAUGAAUAAGCACCUGAGCAAAGUUGCUAGCCAGGGCAAGAUACUUUGCAAUCAAGACCAUUUAUCGAAAGCGGAAAAUGUGUAAAAGUGCAAAUCCAUGAAAAUAGAGAACAUCUGCCCAUUUCAGUUCAUGAAUUAAGCUCUGUCAAUCACAGAGCUGUCUGAUGGUUGCACUGUGUAUGAUGCAUUAGCAUAGAGUGAAGUGCUCUUGGCAAAGCAGCUGGGCUGAACUAGGGCUGUUGUCCUUUGGUCACCAGGAUAAGAAGAUUCUUAUGCUGUCUUUCCUUCCUCUCAGAUCUGACAUGUCUCUUGACAAAGGACAUUCUCUUUGAAAAUUUCCCACGUGAUAUUUUGGAUGUGUGCAGUGAGAGUAUUUUUUAUUAUAAUUGAUUUCUUAAUUUAAACUUCA